rnacentral:rRNA from 1 species
AGACAGAGGGUGCAAACGUUGCUCGGAAUCACUGGGCAUAAAGCGCGCGUAGGCGGCCAGGUCAGUGCGAUGUGAAAGCCCCCGGCUCAACCGGGGAACUGCAUCGCAUACUGCCUGGCUAGAGCACGAGAGGGGAGAGUGGAACUCCUGGUGGAGCGGUGGAAUGCGUAGAUAUCAGGAGGAACGCCGAAGGUGAAGACAACUCUCUGGUUCGUUGCUGACGCUGAGGUGCGAAAGCCAGGGGAGCGAACGGGAUUAGAAACCCUAGUAGUCC